rfam:Oryza brachyantha chromosome 3, whole genome shotgun sequence.
GAGCGUGAUGAUGUGAAUUUUGUCGCCCCAGUCUUAGGAUCCCAGCUCCGGGGCCUGUGCUGAUUGACAUGCUAUCAGAUCUGACUC